rnacentral:lncRNA from 1 species
CGGCCUCCUCUCGAGUUCAGAGCCAGACAUUCGACAAGAGCACCCCAACUUCUCCUUGUCUCCCCUCAACCAUCUGCACCAUUUUUGCCAUCCCUUAUGUUAUCUGGAUAAUUGCUUAAUAUGUUUCCAUGAAUUCAUUUAUUUUUUACUUAAAUAUAUCUAAGAAUAAACUUUCUCUCUCAGUUGCCAUAAAUAGAGGCCAAAAUACAAUGACUAUGAGAAAAAGACAUUGAAUUCUUGCCAGAUACUGUUGCCCGACAAUGACCCCAAGCUUGAAGCCUGUUGUUGCAUGUAAAGUAAAACUCAGUAGAAAAAGGGAGAGGGCUUCAAGAGCGCUAGAGAAACUCUAGCAUCGACCUUUCCCUUGCUCUGAUUUGAAAGCUUGAAAAGAUAAUGUCCUCACUGUAGUAUUCCAUGGCAUUUGAUGCUGCAUCUGGGUACCCCAGAAAGAGUCCUCUAUGUAGACUUUCCUUGAUAUGCAUAAAAUAACUCUGGAUGGGUACACAGCCUCUGAGAUCAUUGGCUGCCUCUGGGAGAAACAGGGUAUCUGGGGGAAGGGGCGGAGCGGGGGGGGACGUCUGUGGCAUUUGAAUUCUGAGUCAUGUGAAUGUGUUAUCUUUCAAAAAAUUACAACAUACAGUACUUUACCUACAGCUGGGGCCAAGAACUGCCCUGCAGCAACUGUGACCAGAUGGCCAAGUACUGCCUCCUCAGAGCCCCUAGGAAGGAGCCAGCUGCAGGGAUGUGGGCAGGAUGCUGUGCUCCAGGCAGGGCCAAGGAAACAUGAGUUGGGAUGGCCUUGCUCAGUCGCCUCUCAGGAGGUCCUGCCCUAGUCCCAAGUUUGCACCUGCUCCAAGCCCAAAGCUGCCCAGAACCACGUGGGGAGCCGGACUGACCCUCACCAUUUCCCAAGGCUCAGAGACAGAAGCUGAUUGCCCCUGGGCACCAGCCCUCAGGUUCGUACCCACAGGCCUCUGGAGCCCCCUCACUGAGUGAGCAUGUACCAUCUGCCCUGACAGGGUCGGGGCUGGAGGUGAGCCCUUUAGCCCAGGCCUCCGCAGCACCCCGUCCGCUGAUCAGGCUGAAAGAACUUCAUUACUGGGCUCUAUUUCUCCAGAAACGUGAGGACUUCCUGGCGGCUAUUAUCUUCCUGGCUGUUGUUUUUCUUCCCUUCCUGGGGCCACAGAGGACAAUGACCCAGGGUGCCCCUGACCAGGGUACUGGCGUUCAGGGUGGGAAACCCUUGG